AGAUGGCGACCGGCGCACGGGUGAGUAACACGUAUCCAACCUGCCGAUAACUCGGGGAUAGCCUUUCGAAAGAAAGAUUAAUACCCGAUGGUAUAAUUAGACCGCAUGGUCUUGUUAUUAAAGAAUUUCGGUUAUCGAUGGGGAUGCGUUCCAUUAGGCAGUUGGUGAGGUAACGGCUCACCAAACCUUCGAUGGAUAGGGGUUCUGAGAGGAAGGCCCCCCACAUUGGAACUGAGACACGGUCCAA
rnacentral:rRNA from 1 species